GACAAACGCUGGCGGCGUGCGUAAAACAUGCAAGUCGCACGGCCCUUUCGGGGGCAGUGGCAGACGGCUGAGUAACGCGUGGGAACCUGCCUCGGCGAGGGGGAUAACCGCCCGAAAGGGUGGCUAAUACCGCGUACGGUCCGCUCGAGAGAGUGGAAGAAAGCCCUUCGGGUGCGCUGAGAGGGGCCCGCGUCCGAUUAGCUUGUUGGUGGGGUAAUGGCCUACCAAGGCCGCGAUCGGUAGCUGGCUGAGAGGAUGAUCAGCCAGACUGGGACUGGGAGACGGCCCAGACUCCUACGGGAGGCAGCAGUUAGGAAUUUUGGGUCAAUGGCCGCAAGGCUGACCCAGCAACGCCGCGUGGGGGAUGAAGGCUCUCGGGUUGUAAACCCCUUUCUUCGGGACGAUGAUGACGGUACCCGAGGAAGAAGCCCCGGCUAACUACGUGCCAGCCGCCGCUGUAAC
rnacentral:rRNA from 1 species